UACGUAGGGUGCAGGCGUUAAUCGGAAUUACUGGGCGUAAAGCGUGCACAGGCGGUUUGCUAAGACAGGUGUGAAAUCCCCGGGCUUAACCUGGGAACUGCGCUUGUUACUGGCAGGCUUGAGUGUGGCAGAGGGGGGUGGAAUUCCACGUGUAGCAGUGAAAUGCGUAGAGAUGUGGAGGAACACCGAUGGCGAAGGCAGCCCCCUGGGCUAACACUGACGCUCAUGCACGAAAGCGUGGGGAGCAAACAGG
rnacentral:rRNA from 1 species